GCAAAUUACCCACUCCCGGCACGGGGAGGUAGUGACRAAAAAUAACGAUACGGGACUCAUCCGAGGCCCCGUAAUCGGAAUGAGCACACUUUAAAUCCUUUAACGAGUAUCCAUUGGAGGGCAAGUCUGGUGCCAGCAGCCGCGGUAAUUCCAGCUCCAAUAGCGUAUAUUAAAGUUGUUGCGGUUAAAAAGCUCGUAGUCGGACUUGUGUCACACGCUGCCGGUUCACCGCCCGUCGGUGUUUAACUGGCAUGCACGUGCUGACGUCCUGCCGGUGGCCCGAGCCGGUCCGGGAGCUCUGGGUGCGGGAUUCCCUUCGGGGGCCCGCCUCGAACCCGGUGUCCGGGGAGGGCCUACUCAUACCCCUCGCGGUGCUCUUAACCGAGUGUCUCGAUGGGCCGGCACGUUUACUUUGAACAAAUUAGAG
rnacentral:rRNA from 1 species